GAUGAAGAACGUAGUGAAAUGCGAUAAGUAAUGUGAAUUGCAGAAUUCAGUGAAUCAUCGAAUCUUUGAACGCACAUUGCGCCCCCUGGUAUUCCGGGGGGCAUGCCUGUCCGAGCGUCAUUACAACCCUCAAGCUCAGCUUGGUGUUGGGCCCCGCCGCCCCGGCGGGCCCUAAAGUCAGUGGCGGUGCCGUCCGGCUCCGAGCGUAGUAAUUCUUCUCGCUCUGGAGGUCCGGUCGUGUGCUCGCCAGCAACCCCCAAUUUUUUUCAGGUUGACCUCGCAUCAGGUAGGGAUACCCGCUGAACUUAAGCAUAUCAAUAAGCGGAGGA
rnacentral:misc_RNA from 1 species